CUUUCUUGGUGCCUAGUCAUCUUGGUUAUAACAACAAUAUUCUCGAAACUGUACUUAGAACAAAAAUAAAAAAAGUACAUAGCGCACAACAACGUCAAACAGAUCCAGUGUUUUUGUAUAUGCUUGACAUAUUAUUAUAAUUUUUCAAGCUCAUCAAUCAAAAAAAGAAAUAAAAAUAUCUACAACAUGACUUCAUCGCCAAUAUUAAAUCCAGAAAUUCCAUUUGUGGGUGCGGUUGAAGGAGGUUUAUCACCAGGUAAACUGGUAAAUGUUAGAGGAAAAGUACCUGAAAAUGCUGUUCGUUUUGCAAUAAAUUAUCAACUAGGACCAAAUAUAAAUCCUCGUGAUGAUAUUGCAAUUCAUUUAUCACCACGUUUUACUGAUGGUAUUAUAACACGUAAUCAUAUUAAUUCAAUGUCAUGGGGACCUGAAGAAAAUAGUGGAGCAUUAUGGAUUCAACCAGGUCAAGCAUUUGAAAUAAUUAUUCUUUGUGAACCAUUGCAAUAUAGAAUUGCAAUAAAUGGUCGUCAUUAUACUGAAUUUGCUCAUCGUUUACCAUAUCAACGUGUUACACAUCUUGUUAUUGAUGGUGAUGUUGAAAUAAUAUCUGUAUUUUAUGAAAAUAUUAAUAGCUCACCAUCACAAGCAAUGCCUCCAAAUAUUCCUGCAGCAAAUUUUGGACCUCCAACUGCUGGUGGUAUUUAUCCAACUCUUGGACCUCAAGUUCCAUCAAUGCCACAAGGUGGUAAUAAUUAUUAUCCAAAUCCUCCAAAUACUCCAAGUACAUAUGCUGGUGGUUAUAAUCCACAACCAGAAGAAGAAAGUCCAUUUAGUGGAUGUCUUGAUAAAGUUGGAUUAGCUGUUGGAGGAUUGAUUGCAGCUGGUGGUGUUGCUGCAGCAAUGAAUGCUAUAAAUAAAAAAAAAGAUACUGAGGAUAGUCAUGAAAAAACAGAUUCAUCAAAUUUACAAAAUGAAAGUUCAGGACUUGGUGGUCUUGGUGCACUUGGUGCAGCACUUGCUAGUAGUCUUGCAACAAAUGCAUUAAAAGGUGAUUCACAUGGCUCACAAGGUUAUCCUUCACAAGACUCAGGUGCUGGUGGAAUGUUGGGAUCAAUACUUAAUUCACUUGGUGGAUCUGAUAAUUCAUCAAACAGACAUUCAUCAAAUGAUCUUGGUGGUCUUGGUGGUUUAGGAUCAUUACUCGGUGGUGUUUUAAAUAAAGGAGGUAAUCAACAACCAAGUUAUGAACCAAGUGGUGGUUAUUCUAGACCAUCACAAAGUGAUAAUACAACAUCUGAUUUAAUAAAUUCUAUUGGUGGUUCAUUGUUUUCUUCUGCUCUUGAUAGCCUUACUAAACACAAAUCUCAUGGAAAUGAUGAUAAAUCUUCAUCAUAUCCACAAAAACCACCUCAGUAUGAAGAUAAUUAUGGAGCAAGGUAUGAUAUUCCUCCACCAUACCAACCAGUACCAACACCACCAUCACCAAGUGAUAAUAAAUUAUCUGCUGAUGAAAUAUCAAAGGGUCUUGGUCUUGGUGAUGAAUAAAUUAUUUACUUAUUUUGAUUAUUUAUUGUGGUUUAGUUCAAAAAUGAAUAUUAAUUUAAGAAAAACAAAAAAAGCUUAUACAUAAAAAUUUUAAUUCAGAUAUUAUUGCAAAGCUUAAUCAAUAACUAUGGAGGAAACUAAAAUCUCAUAUUUAUAUAUUUUUUUGUUAUUCAUAAAAGACUCUAUGGAUUUGUUGAAAAAUAUAUAAAGUCUAUAAAAUUAUUUCUUUUAUUAAACAUAGCGUGCUGUUUAUGAAAAAAAAAAAAAAAUUCAAUUAAUCAUAUUAUAUAAUCACAUCUUGAUAAUAAAAGGGCCUAACCGGAAUUUUUGUUUUAUUUAAUACUAAAAAGUUUUUUUUUUUUUGUUUUUUCGAAUUAUUUAUUUAAAUUUUAAUAUAAAAAAAAUAUUGUUAACAACGAUACGGUCUCUCUAAUAACAAUAUAAUUCUUGUUGUUUACGACAUAUAAUUACAUGAGUAAUAAAUGUUUUUUUUUUCUUGCUGGAUGAUCACUUAAAAUUGUUUGACACAAUGAAAAAAGAAAAAAAAAAUGCUAUGUAUCAUUAUCAAUAAUUACUUCUCGGCUUUGAUUGUUAAGUAUAAUAAUUAUUGUGUUAUAAUUAAAAAAAAAAACGUGUCUUAUAACACCAGAAAAUUGAAUUUAAAAAAAUUAAAAGAUAAAAUAAAUUGAAAGUCAUAUAAUAUAAAUCUUUUGCACAAAUUAUAAGUAUAAAUUUUUGCUUUAAAAAUUCCAUAUAUAUGUACUAGAUAUUAAUAAAAUAGUUUUUAAAAAAAUUAUGGGUUUUUACUAAUUUAUUUAAUUGCUUGAAUAUUAUAAAUAUUUUGUUUAUCUAAACAGCAUAUAUUAAUUGAUAUAAAAAUUAAUUCAGAUCGUUUAAAGACACGACAAUUGAACUUGAUAAAUUCCAAGAUCAUUUGGAUAAAUUAUUUACAACCUCGACAUGAUAAAAAGUAAAAAAAAAAAAAUGAUAUACUAAAUACUCAAUGUUGUUUAGAACAUUAAAAUUCUGAAGAUACAAAAUUGUCCUUCGUGUAAGCAUUACAGAGUAUGUAUCACAGCCUCGGUACUAAAAAUAAAAAGACAUGCAAUACAACGACUCAAGGUGUUGACAGUUUCAUUGUGAACAGCGUAAAACAUCAACGUAAAAAAAAGUGUCGAGACUAGAAUAAUAGUUUCGAGUUAUUUAUUUUCAUCAUAAAUAUACAACAACCAUUGUAAAAUUAUGUAAAACAUAAUGUAUAUGAAAUCACUGCUAAAAACACAA
rnacentral:misc_RNA from 1 species